rnacentral:lncRNA from 1 species
AUUAAGAAUAUUAAUGUCUAAAGGGUUGAUCGUGGUUUGGAAGGGAGAUAUGCAAGAUUAGGAAGAACAUCAGUGAAUGGCCCUAACACCACCCUAUAGUCCAACGUUGCCGGAGAUAUCGCUGUUGGUCGUACCCAUCAGCUCUUCCAUUAUCGCAAACUUGUGCCACCACCAUCAAUUACAAUCCAAAAACGCAAGAACUAGCUAGGACCCUAACUCCAAAUUUCAAAGAAAAAAAAAUAACUCAAGUACAGGAAAUCCCCAAAAUCCAAUUUGAAAACAAAGAUUCCAACUCCUCCAAUCGCAACAUCAGAAAAAUCAAGAACAGAAACCCCAAAAAUUUCCCAAAUUCAGAAAUCCUAAAACCAAAACCCUAAAAAAUUCCCAAAUUCAGAAACCUUAAAACCAAACCCCCAAAAAAUUCCCAAAUUCAGAAACCCUAAAACCAAACCCCCAAAUUACAAGAUCAAAACCCUCAACCUAUAAUUGUCAACCUGUAGAGAAGAAAUAGAAACACAAGAACAACCUUAAAUCACAAGCCAAGAAACUGUGAAGCAUCCUCCCCAUGAGCCCUCGCGCUGCGAAAAAGGAGUUCGCACCCUAGCCUUCACUCCCUGUGACAUUUCAUUUUGA